CUACGGGUCGCACCAGCAGCGAAUUAUUUGCAAUGCACGAAAGUGUGACAAUGCGAACCAAAGUGCCUAGCAUUUAUGUUAGGCUUUUCCUCGCUCUAAAAAGGCGGGGGAAUAAGGACUGGGCAAGACCGGUGCCAGCCGCCGCGGUAAUACCGGCAGUUCAAGUCGCAUCCACUAUUAUUGGGUCUAAAACAUCCGUAGCUCGUUACUUAAGUCCCUUGUGAAAUCCUAUGUCUCAAGCAUAGGGCUUGCGGAGGAUACUGAGUGACUAGAGAUCGGUAGGCGUAAGGAGUACGUUGGAGGUAGUGGUUAAAUACGUUAAUCUUCAACGGACUAACGAUUUAGCGAAGGCACCUUACGAGGACGAAUCUGACAGUGAGGGAUGAAGGCCAGGGGCGCAAAACGGAUUAGAUACCCUUGUAGUC
rnacentral:rRNA from 1 species